UACGUAGGGUGCGAGCGUUGUCCGGAAUUAUUGGGCGUAAAGAGCUCGUAGGCGGUGUGUCACGUCGGCCGUGAAAACCUGCAGCUUAACUGUGGGCGUGCGGUCGAUACGGGCAUCACUGGAGUUCGGCAGGGGAGACUGGAAUUCCUGGUGUAGCGGUGAAAUGCGCAGAUAUCAGGAGGAACACCGGUGGCGAAGGCGGGUCUCUGGGCCGAUACUGACGCUGGAGGAGCGAAAAGCGUGGGGGAGCAAACAGG
rnacentral:rRNA from 1 species